AUAACGGGGCUGCAUCCAGGCUGAGAGGAGCAGGGUUGCCUCAGUGCCCACCAGCAGGGAGGCUCUGCAAGAGGGAAAAAUGAGGACGAAGUAGACGUUUCCUGUGUCCAGCUGAGGGCUGACUGGAGGUCCAUCUCAGAGGACUCGGGGGAAAGAGCUCCAUGUGCAAAACGGUCAUCCAGAGGACCCAAGACAUGGUGGUUACUAGUAGACUUCCCACAGUAGUUCUUCAUUCCAUGUGGACUCCUUCAAGGGCAGUGAGCAUCACAGCUUCCCUUGAACUUCGUCUGGAGUGUUACUGAGAUUUUCAGUUAUUUGGACAAACUUGAUGGAUUUAAAGCAGACAUGUUUCCUUUGCAGGGGUGUUACUGUGCAGAUUCCAGUACUAUGGCUAGAGUGAAUAAUAGUGUCAUUAUUUGUGAGAGCAACUCUGCUAAGUCUUAACGAUCAUGUCACUCAAGGCUUUUUAAUAAAGUAGUGUUUGUAGUUUGUGAAGUCA
rnacentral:lncRNA from 1 species